GCGGUUGACUUUUGAAGGCCUUUUCUCUCCAUGUUGGUUACGUUUCGUAGAACUUUACAAUUAUCUGCCAAAACUCCCUAUAUUUUAGGAAUUCGAACAAUUUGCACCUCCACCACCAUGGCAGAUAGGCUAUCGCUGUUCCAGAGCAUUGGUCUGAGUCAACAAAAAGCCAAGGAGACCAUGAAAAACGAAGCCCUUUCUCAGAAACUUGAGAAAAUUGUUACACAGGCUCACAGUAAAGGUGAAAGCGACAAACAGAGUGGGACUCUACUGUACGUUCUAGCAAGCAGUAGCUUGAAGGAGGAGUCUCGGGUGUCGUUACUGGUGGAUUACAUCUGCAGCAAGAAGGUCUCCUCGAGUGCACAACUGACAGCUGCGUUCGAAUAUCUCACCAAGACCAGUCCUGUGGGACCCAUCGAUGCAUGCAAGUUUGAGCAGCAUUGCGGAAUUGGUGUUGAAAUCACCCCAGAACAGAUAGAGGAGUGUAUUGAACAAAUUAUUAAUGAACAUAAAGACGAGCUGCUCGAAAAGCGUUACAACUUCAACACAGGGCUGAUAAUCGGGAAAGCUAGAGACAGACUUAAGUGGGCUGAUGGGAAAGCAAUGAAAGCUGAAAUGGACAUGCAGAUUCUUGACUUGCUUGGUCCCAAAACCGAGGCAGACAUGCAGAAGCCAAAAGACAAGGAUGCUAAGCAGUCUAAGGGGCAGAAGAAAAAGGGUGGGGUCGCCAACAACAAACCUGCAGUUGUGAAUGGAGAUGCAUCCAAUGGUGAUGACAGCAGUGCUCUGACAGGAGAAAUUGCAAGGUUUCACAAACCUGGAGAUAACUAUCACACACCGGGAUAUGUGGUGACGCCAAAAACAAUGCAGCUGCUAAAAGAACAUCUUGAGAGAACAAAAGGAAGGGUGCAGACUAGGUUCCCACCAGAGCCAAAUGGUAUUCUACACAUCGGCCAUGCUAAAGCUAUCAAUAUCAACUUUGGUUAUGCAAAGGCGCACAAUGGGGUGUGUUACCUACGGUAUGAUGACACUAACCCUGAGAAAGAAGAAGAGAAGUUUUUCACUGGAAUACUGGACAUGGUGAAAUGGCUAGGUUUUGAGCCAUGGAAGAUCACCCAUGCCUCUGACAACUUUGACAAGCUGUAUGAGUAUGCUGUUGAGCUGAUCAAGCGGGGGGAUGCAUAUGUGUGUCAUCAGCAAUACGAGGAGAUCAAGGGGUACAACCCCCCGCCCAGCCCCUGGAGGGAGCGCCCCAUUGAGGAAUCCCUCAGACUCUUUGAGGAUAUGAAGAAAGGAAAACUUGAUGAGGGACAGGCAACACUCAGGAUGAAGACUACCCUAGAAGAUGGAAAGGCAGACCCUGUCGCGUACAGGAUCAAGUUCACCCCUCACCACCGGUCAGGGGACAAAUGGUGCAUUUAUCCAACUUAUGACUUCACCCACUGUCUGUGUGACUCCAUUGAGGACAUCACACAUUCUCUUUGCACAAAGGAAUUCCAGUCAAGGCGGUCCUCUUAUUACUGGCUUUGUAAUGCUCUGGAUAUUUACUGCCCUGUGCAGUGGGAAUAUGGCAGGCUGAAUCUCAGCUACACUGUUGUAUCCAAGAGAAAGAUUGGCAAACUAAUUAAUGAAGGCAUUGUCAGGAAUUGGGAUGACCCCAGACUGUUCACUCUGACAGCCCUUCGAAGACGAGGCUUCCCAGCGGAGGCAAUCAAUAAGUUCUGCAGCAAGGUUGGCGUUACCAUGGCUCAGACAGUAAUAGACCCUCUGAUGCUGGAAGCAUGCGUCAGAGAUGAGCUCAAUUUGACUGCCACGAGGGUCAUGGCUGUUUUAGAGCCUCUAAAAGUGACUAUAACAAACUUCCCAUCAGAUAAGGCCAUGAUGAUAGAAGUGCCCAACUUGCCAAUGGAUGCCAGCAAGGGCAACCACAAGGUCCCAUUUGACAGAGUUCUCUACAUUGAGAGUUCAGACUUCAGAGAGACUAUGGAGAAGGGUUACAGAAGACUCACACCAGAACAGUCUGUUGGUCUUAGACAUGCUGGAUAUGUCAUCAAGGUUAAGAAAGUUAUCAAGAAUGCAAGUGGAGAGGUGUCUGAACUAGAGGUUACUUGUGAACUGACCUCCUCCACCGACAAGCCCAAGGCAUUCAUCCACUGGGUGGCAUCAACCGCAGUACCAUGUGAGAUCAGACUUUAUGACAGACUAUUCAAGCAUAAAAACCCUGAGGAUCCAGAGGAGGUGCCUGGUGGCUUUGUCAGCGACUGCAACAAGGUCAGCAAAGAGAAAAGACUCAUUGACAGUGAUACCUAAUGCCUUGGUUGACAUCACUGCAAAGGGUGCUGCUCCGUUCACCAAGUUUCAGUUUGAGCGACAGGGCUACUUCUGUGUGGAUCCCGAUUCUAGCAAGAACAAGCUUGUUUUUAACCGAACUGUAGCUUUGAAGGAAGAUGCUGGCAAAAUUUAACCAAGGAUCACACAUAAUCUUUUGAAAUAGAAAUAAUGAAAAACACCUGUAUUAUUUUAUUAUCUGAUUUGUGACCUGAUAGUAGGGCACAGUCCAUAAGGCAAUGUAAAGUAAAAUAAAAGUCUGUGUCAAUAUUUAAAGAUUGAUAUUACUGUC